UCACCUGCACACUUCUAGGGUAUUCUGUGAUCAGUUAAUCUGUACAUUAUCUAUCAGAAGAGAUUAGGUAUAAACACAGUACAUACCUCAGCUUCCCUAUCUUUAAAUGUUGUGAUUUCAUACUACCUUUCCAAAAGUAAGCAUGUUUACUCUGUGUGCCAUACACUGACCUUUUCCUUCAAAACAAACUCAAAUUUGGUAUGUACACAUAGGAUUUACAAUGGGUACAGGUUUAAAACACUUCGCAUGGAUAUUUGCAGUCACUGUUCCAUUCAGCUGACUUCUAACUGUAAUACCACCUAGGUUAGCUUAAAGCAGUUCAGAGACACUCAGUAACACACAUCUAUUUCAGUUCAGUGGAGGCUGCCAGGGGUUAACCCUUCAUCACAACUGCUGCUCUCCUCCCUGCUUUCAUCGAUAAGAAGACAUUCAUGGCGUUAACCUCAGCCUGCUACCCAGUCUCUUUACGCUGCAAGAAUGGAGGGUGAAUGGAUUUUCAUUUUGGCCCUAUCAUGAUAGCUAGGCACAGCUUUAUAAGAUGUUACUGUACUAGAAUGACUUUUUUUGAUAUAGUUUAUUUUAUGCUAGAAGCACUGCAAAUAGCACAAAUCCUCAAUCACCUUUCCCUGUGGUUCAGGUAAGGAAUAAGCACAGAGUACACAAGCUUGUAGUUCCUUCAGUUCACUAGCUGCACGACAUCUGGGUUAAGCCUUCCAGGUCCUAAACCCCAGAACAAUAAAGAGGCCUUUUCUUUAAUCUUCACAACUCACAGUUACUUUCCCUUAACCACAGGGAACGAGUAUUCUAGCCUUGAUUUGUUUUUCACUGUAUUAUUUCUAUUAUGUUGGCUCUCUUUGGCUUUAAAGUAAUACUCAUGUGACCCAUCACACUACCUGUUUGCCAGAAUAUUGUCUCAGCAGGCAUACUCAAUUCAUGAGUCAGAAUCCAAAAUAAUAAUAAGGUGUAAUGUUUUAAGCAAAUGAUUCAGGAGCAUAAAGUGAACACACUUGGGGAAUUUUACCUACUUUGUGUCUGAGGCUUUGGGUUCACAGCCUCUAGCUCUUCCAUAUGACUAUGGGAUCUAGACUGCUUUUAGGGUUUGAUGGUUUGGGGUUUGUUUUAUUUUUUGUUAAUGAAAGCUGAGAUUCUCAUGUAUUCCCACAGUUCUGGAAGUUAGAGCUAGUAAAAACUAUCUCAAGUAAUGAGAGAUUGUAAAAUUACAAGAGCUGUAAACAGCAUUAUCAUGAACGAGUUAAGAGGGUGUUAAGGAACCUGGAAAUGACUUCUUCAUCCCAGCCCUUCAAAGCGGACAGCUAAAGACCUAGGCCUUCUCUUUGUUACUAACAUGAUUCUUACAGUACAAACCCUAACACAGAUGUUUAACGGGAAGGUUUCUGCUCUCCUGCUGUCAUUAAAACUGUUUUUCCCAAAUAAUCUUGAAAGAAAUCAGUGGGUUUCACUGAAACACAUGGAGUUAAGCAUUUCAGAAGCACCCUUGAAUCCCACUAGACAUUUACCUGCAUUUUCUAGUAAACUUUAAAAUCUGGCUUGUACAGAUAAAACAUUUCUUCUACAACAACCACUACACAGCAAGUUAGCCUUCUUAGCCAUGCUACUAUACUUCUAAGCUGUCUUUUUAAAAGCUUAUUUAUACUCCACUGAAAGACCAGCAGAAGACAGCUUCAGGACUGUGAACAGUUUCCAAGAAUUCACGCUUUGCCUUGCAAAUACCUGGUUUACAUACAGAAAGAUCCAGCUUGAUCCUAAAGCACAUCCCUAAAGGAACCAACACGCUCAUAUGCACUUGGCACAGCAGCGUGUAAGCAGCAGCAAGAGAAAACACAAAACAAAUUAAAAUACAUAUGCAAACAGGGCAGGAAUUUCUAAAUUGACCCAAAGCAGCACAGUUUUGAAAUAAGUCAAACACGUAGUACUGAAGGAUUAAAAAACAGGGAUUCCUCUCAGCACGGUGCACUGCAUUAAUUCAAUUCUGCAGAGUUGUGAUUCCUCUCCCUCCAAAAUCAACGGAUGCCAAAACAAGUUGCUAGUACGUGAGGCAACACAUUGAAAGAUUACAGUUCCCAGUCCCAGACUGGCAUGACCUUAUUGUUAGGCAAGGAAAAAAAGCCUCAUCUUAAGAGACAUGGGAGCUUGUCCAUCCUGCUGGGGACACCGUAUCAUACAAUACAUACGUCUGCACUGACGCACGCUAUUUUAUGUUAUAAUCUGUGUAUUUUACGAGCUGGCCACAACACCUUAUGUAACAGACCCCUGUUUAAUAUGGAACAGCAUGUUCCUCGCCGCGGCAAUCCCAGCAGUUUCCCUUGCCCCGAGCAAUUCUGCCCCGCCGGGCUCCUGCUCAGCUACCGCUGGACAGAAAGGCCACUCGGGCAACCGCCGCCAGCCGUUCUUACUUGGGGCGUCGCGCCCCGACCGCUGUAACGGGGCCUCCACGCUGCAAAAGAACCAUUUUGUGAGGCAUGUCAAAGGCUCCCCAGCGAGGCUGUUCAGGCUGGCACGGGGAGGAGGGGGGGGGGAGAUGGUGGGGAAAUGAUUUCUCAACGAGCGACGCCAGCCUGUCCCGGCUUCUUUUGGGCGACACAGGCACUGCCGCGCCGGUGGUGCCUCGGAGGCUCCGCCGCUUCGUGACUCCACUCGGAAGGCGCCCGGGGUGACCGGCCGUCCAGGACCCGCACGAUGCAGAUGGCAGCCGAGCAACUUCGGCUGCUGUUGUGCCGCACACGCACCGAGCGCGGGGUUCAUCACCGGCUCUCUCCGCAGCUCUUACAAACCUCCCUCCGCGGAGCAGGAGCCGGCGCUGUCCGUGGCUGCGGAAGCGCAACCACGGUGACCGGCAACAAGCUCCCCCAGGACCCCGAAACACGGCUGCACCCCCACAAAUUACGUAACAGAGGAGCAUUUCGGGCGGCUCCGACCGGCACCUCCGGUUGCAAAGCCGGGAGGGGGGUGUGUGGGUCUGCCCCCUCGGGAUCCCCGCCCCGGCGGCGGCACUCACCGCCUCCGAGUCUUCAAAUCCAUGCAGGCACUACAGAGAUUUGCAAGUAGCUGAGCUGUGGGGAACUCAGGAACCAUAGCUAGGGCCUUCCAGGGUGGUUUUGAUACAGAGGAGCAGAUUAUCUCCACCUCCUGAGGCAGUACACUCUCACUGCACAAGCACUUCAUGCCACGUGGGGUCUGCACCAGCAGAUCCAGGUUCAGCUGUGACUUGGCACAGGACAAGAUUUCAGGGAUCCCUGGGCACCAACAACCCCCAGCAAAGUCAGAGCAUCUUCAAGAUUUUCCCUGUGCUCUACGACAUCAGGAGAGAAAGCAGAGAGAUCUGCUUAUCAGCGUACCAAGUCUGAGGCUCCAAGGAGACAAAAAGAAGGACCAGCCAGCUCCAAGAUCACCCCCCCCCCAGCCUGCCCAGUUCUACCAGCCUAGGACAUAGAGAGAAGAUAACCCUAUCCCACACUCCAAAGAGAUGCUGGAAAUCCUACAGGCUGCCCUAAAAUGUGCAAACACACACAGGUGGAAAGCACUUAUCAACUGAGCUUAUGAAUUC